AUAUGCAGGAAUAAACCACACAUUUGAAAAAUUCUACACUGUCACACUUACACCACGUCAUUAAUAAGAAGCCAAUCAUAUAUUCUUUUUUUCGAAUAAAAGUAAAAUAAAAAUAUUCUUUUAUAAUCAUGAUGAAACAUAUAUCUCUAAAAAAAAACACAAUUCGAUUGGCUUAUUACGUCACUUCACCAAUAUACCCGUUGCAUUUUAAAAUUUUUCCACGCUUUUAACCUCCACCUGUCGGUGCGUGGUUAAAGCGGGCGCAUUUCGACCGUCCGAUUUGUGAGCCCCCGUGAUUCGAAGGUCUCAAUCAGAGCCGUUCGAUGAGCGGCCGGAUUUCGCCCAGAUGGCACAUCAGCGGGGAGCUUCCGUCCGGCGCGCCGAAAGGCAGUUGCGUCUUUUUACCCGUCUCCAGAAUAUUCGCCCAAAUAUUCCGUACUCAAAUCGCACUCGCCCUUCUCCAAAAUAAUUAAUAAUUAAUAAUAAUAAGAAUAAUAAUAAUAAUUCCACCCUUCAUUACCAAACUUUUCGUCCUUUCUCAGCAUAUUUUUUAAGCUUAUCCGUAUGCUUCACACUAUAAAAUAAAUCUUUUUUUCGAUUCCAAAUAUGAAAUCUACUUGCUUCAUAUUUCUAUCCAAAUUUAGUUUAAAAAUAAAUAAACAAAACGAAUAAUUAACUUGAUAUUUUUUUCUCUUUCAAUUUUUUUUUCCAACGAAUAUUUUUUUUACUCCUAACCUACACAUUAGUAAGAUACAACCUCCUUACUUUUUAGAUCGACUAU
rnacentral:lncRNA from 1 species